GGGGGCGGCUGCGCCGCCGCGAAAGGCGGCGGGAGGAGGGAUAGGAGGCAGAAGGCGGCGGCGGCGGAGGCCAUGGCGGCGGAAUUGUAACGGAGGUGAGAUUUUUUUUUUGGUGUGGUGAUGAGUGGCGGGAAGGAGGUUAUAAAUGAGAGCGGAAAAUUCGGGGAAGGAGGUGGGGGAGUUUUCUUUUGGAAAUAAAUUCUCUUUUGCUUUAUGUCAAUGGAUAUUAAAUAGUGUUUUAGUGGAACUUA
rnacentral:lncRNA from 1 species